UGAGAGGUUCCCACUGGUUCAGUUCCUUAGAGCAGCUGGAAGAAAACGGAAGAAAAACAGCCCGCUGGUUAAACUUCUCUACACGCAUGGCCCAGGGUAAAGCAGUACUUCACAAGCUAAAAUUCCAGGAAUCGACUUUUGGAUGAGUUACAGGGUUUCAGUGCGGCUUUAAGAGAGAAGUCUGUCAUCUUGGGCCAAGUUUUGAGGGAGCGCUCAGCUUUGCAGCAGAAAGAGGCCGGCUGAGGCAGGAUGUCGCCUGAAGGACAGCACCGGAGCUGCUGAUCUGAGUGCCAAGAGCAGACAGAGAUGAGCAGCCUUUAAAAUGACAACAGAACCUACCGGAUCCAAUGGUCCUCCCACAGCUGGUACUCAGGGAAAAUGGCAGACUGAGGCCUUUCUCGAAGGCUUGCUGCUCCAGCAUCAGGGUGGAGCGCAGCCACAGGUUGUGCGUCUUGCCCAGGUACUUGAGCACACAGGGCCUGAUGGGAAUGGGCGGCACACACUGUGACAUGGCCUCCACGAAGCAGUUGAGAGCACUGGGCUGGCAGUCCCUCUGAGACUGAUGACUGCCGCUGCACAAGAAUGGACCCAUCUCUCCCGACAGAGCCUGCAACGAGGACAUGGUCACACGGUCAGUUUCAGUAUUCAUAGAGUGUGAUUUAAAAAAGGUAAAAAGGAAGAGGUUAAUCAGCCAGGGGAGUGAAAUGGCUUUAAGCAUAAUUCUCAUGGCAACAUAUUAUACACACAGAGAUAUAUAUAUAUAUAUAUAUAUAUAUAUUCUGCAAAUAUGUUCCAAUGAAUAUUUAACAGGCAACAAAAAUUAUAUGUAGAAAGUAAAUGAUUUAAAAGAAUAUCAAAAGCAUCAUAUUCAGAUUUUGUAACAUGCCCUAAUUCCGUCCUCCUUACCAUCAAGCCAAAACAAAGCUAUUAACUAGCCUCCAUUUCUAUUUUUGAGAUGCAGUUUAAAAUUCAUAGCUUUCAUCAUUGCAAAUCAAAGCUAUUUAAUUAAAAUCAUAAUGCUUAAGACAUCUGGCCCAUUAAACUCCUUGAUAUUUGCAUAAACGCAUGAAUUUCUUUCUCAUUACCAUGGUCUGCAUGUGAGAGCGCUGCGGAAAAGGGCAAGGAGUCAAAACGCCUGCCUCCCUGGAGCCUGCUGAUCGGAGCAGUGUGAGGGCCGACACACGCGACCUCUGACACCAUUAAGGACACUGAGCUCAGUACAGGGCUACACUGGCUUCUAACACACUCAGAGUCGACCAAGAACUUAAUCGUUGAAAGUGUACCUGGUUGGCAGCCAUAGGGGAAUUGUUCUUGACCCACUCCUCCACAAUCUUUACCACAGCUCGCAGGAUCUUCGGGUCCGGCGAUUUCUCAAUCAGUGAGGCUUGGUGAGCAGCGUCUCUGAGCCUGGCAUUGACUGACUGCGGCCAAACACCUAGCAAGAGAAAUCCAAGCUGUAAAAAACACCUCGCUAAGGCCCUUGUGUCCAAACAUGGCACUUCGAGUCAGCGAGUGAGAGAUGGGAGAAAGUGGAUGUGCCGACUCGUUGCUAGGUGUAGAGUUUCCUCACCGUGCCG